AGGUUCUCAUCUUCUCCGAUUAAUCCACUUCUCUUCCUUUCCUGCAUAUCCAUUGGGAAUGGAUUUCCCUAACUCUACUUUUCCAUCCAUUUACUAUCCUCCUCAAAACCCACUUUCCCACUCUACUUGUGGGUGUUCACCAUUGCAGUGGUUGAGAAGUUGAUUCACUGGAAAUCCGAGCCCGAGUAGCAAUGCUUGAAAGACGGAUCUGAGAACCAGUAAAAUUUUUGCAAAAUGGCCUCGAGUACGAAACGAUCUUGGAUAUAUCAGUAGAGAUUGAUGAGAAAACUUGAUUACCAGCUAGAGUUGGCAUUCUCUGAAGUCCAGGUUUGUUUUAGGAAAAGAAGAAAAAUUAAAAAAAAAACAAACAAAACAAAACAAAAGAAGGAAAAUUAAGAAAAUAAAAAAAAUCAUUCUAAUCAUUUUGUUUCAUCAGAACCACUAUUAACCCAUUUUUACACUCCAUCCUCAUUAACAUUUCUUCCCAUUUUGGUAAAAAAUUCAUCAUUGAUAGCCCAUGCACCUUUCUUUUCAUUAGGGGAAGAAAAUCAUUUUGGUGAACAAAAACACUCCACCUUUUUGGCUCAAUUUUCCUCUCUCGGCUCUCUCCCGCAUCAGAGAAGCCACAAACAAAAAAAAAAAAGGACUCCUGACUCUCUCGGCUCUCUCUCUCAAAAACAGAGAAGAAGAAAAAUCUCCCUCAAUCUUCUCUUGGCUCCAUCUCUGGUUCUCUCAAUCUCACAUGCACCUGUCCUCGGAGCAAAGAAAGGUGAAGGAAGGAAAUGAAGACAACAAGCAAUUGGAGUGUGAGGUGCUGAAAUUCCUUCAAAAUUUUGACCGAAGAAGCUCUUGCGGGAGUGGAGGUAUUUUUCCAGCUUUAUUAACCAUGUCAACCCCACAUUUUAUCGUUUAAUUUUGUGGCUUUUGCUGUCUUUUAUUGUUGUUGUUGUGUUGUUCAAAAUUUGGGAAAUGGCUUGAGCAAAGUUGAAGAAAGAGAAGUAAUAUUUCUGUAUGUAUGCUAAAUAUUUGAUAAAAUGCCAAAAAGAAUUUUAAGGACUGUUUUGCCUUAAUGUAGUCUUUUGUUGUUGUUUUCCGGUUAGCUAAGAUCAUAGUUGUAUUGUAGAGGUUGUAGGGAGUGUUGUGGUAUAAAUUUUGUGAUUUUUAGUGGUGACUUGGGUGUUUUAAAAAAUGAAAACUGGACUGUAUUUUGAUAUUUUGGCCACUUUUGGAUCAUCUUUUGUAAAAACUAAUUCCGAAAACGGAACCUACGCGAAAAAUCGAGUGAGGGGGUGUAUUUUGAGAAAUUUUGGUGACCGGAGAGGUCGCCGGCGGUGGCGCCACCGGCGGCCACCAACUGAAGUAAGCUUCGGAUGGCCAGAGGAGGAGAAGAACCGAAGGAAGAAGAAAGAAAGAAAAGAAAA